GUGGCAAGGGUAGCUUGGCGUACUGUUGGGGCGAUGCUUGGUACAGAAUUAUGUUCUAAUAAUCUGUGCCAAUUUUACUCAUGGUGUUAUGCUUUUCUUCCCCAAGGGGACCGAUAUUUCACUAUGGGUCUAGCAGCCAUAUGUUGGGCCAUCUGAAAUCACAGAAAUCAGGCCACUUUUCAGUUUAAGAAAAUGUCAUCUGCUUUUGAGAUUGUCUUCACUGCCUGUGUGCAUUUAUCCUAUUGGGCGGGUCUACUGAAGGGCGAGGAACGAACGGAGCUGGAACAUGGCGCGAUGCUUAUGAAGAAAAAUGCUAAGGAGAUGAUGAGACUCUGCGAGACUGCGUACGUGGGCAACAACCUGGAGUGA
rnacentral:rRNA from 1 species